rnacentral:tRNA from 1 species
AAGGAUUUAAGUUAAAUUAAACUAUUAGCCUUCAAAGCUGAAAAUAGAGAGGUGUCUAAGCCUUA